AUGAACGCUAGCUACAGGCUUAACACAUGCAAGUCGAGGGGCAGCAUGAUUGAAGCUUGCUUCAAUCGAUGGCGACCGGCGCACGGGUGAGUAACACGUAUCCAACCUGCCGAUAACUCGGGGAUAGCCUUUCGAAAGAAAGAUUAAUACCCGAUAGUAUAGUAUUUCCGCAUGGUUUCACUAUUAAAGAACUUCGGUUAUCGAUGGGGAUGCGUUCCAUUAGAUAGUUGGCGGGGUAACGGCCCACCAAGUCAACGAUGGAUAGGGGUUCUGAGAGGAAGGUCCCCCACAUUGGAACUGAGACACGGUCCAAACUCCUACGGGAGGCAGCAGUGAGGAAUAUUGGUCAAUGGACGAGAGUCUGAACCAGCCAAGUAGCGUGAAGGAUGACUGCCCUAUGGGUUGUAAACUUCUUUUAUACGGGAAUAAAGUGGAGUAUGCAUACUCCUUUGUAUGUACCGUAUGAAUAAGGAUCGGCUAACUCCGUG
rnacentral:rRNA from 1 species